rnacentral:snoRNA from 1 species
GAGCAGUGAAGAACCUAUCCCAAACCUGAUUACUUGCUUGAUGAGAACGACAUGUGAAUCAGACUCUUGAGUU